rnacentral:rRNA from 1 species
GAUGAACGCUGGCGGCGUGCCUAACACAUGCAAGUCGAGCGAUUCUCUUCGGAGAAGAGCGGCGGACGGGUGAGUAACGCGUGGGUAACCUGCCCUGUACACACGGAUAACAUACCGAAAGGUAUGCUAAUACGAGAUAAUAUACUUUAUCGCAUGGUAGAAGUAUCAAAGCUUUUGUCGGUACAGGAUGGACCCGCGUCUGAUUAGCUAGUUGGUAAGGUAACGGCUUACCAAGGCGACGAUCAGUAGCCGACCUGAGAGGGUGAUCGGCCACAUUGGAACUGAGACACGGUCCAAACUCCUACGGGAGGCAGCAGUGGGGAAGUAUUGCAC